CCUACGGGAGGCAGCAGUGGGGAAUUUUGGACAAUGGGCGAAAGCCUGAUCCAGCAAUGCCGCGUGAGUGAAGAAGGCCUUCGGGUUGUAAAGCUCUUUUGUCAGGGAAGAAACGGUGAGAGCUAAUAUCUUUUGCUAAUGACGGUACCUGAAGAAUAAGCACCGGCUAACUACGUGCCAGCAGCCGCGGUAAUACGUAGGGUGCAAGCGUUAAUCGGAAUUACUGGGCGUAAAGCGUGCGCAGGCGGUUUUGUAAGUCUGAUGUGAAAUCCCCGGGCUCAACCUGGGAAUUGCAUUGGAGACUGCAAGGCUAGAAUCUGGCAGAGGGGGGUAGAAUUCCACGUGUAGCAGUGAAAUGCGUAGAUAUGUGGAGGAACACCGAUGGCGAAGGCAGCCCCCUGGGUCAAGAUUGACGCUCAUGCACGAAAGCGUGGGGAGCAAACAGGAUUAGAUACCCUGGUAGUCCACGCCCUAAACGAUGUCUACUAGUUGUCGGGUCUUAAUUGACUUGGUAACGCAGCUAACGCGUGAAGUAGACCGCCUGGGGAGUACGGUCGCAAGAUUAAAACUCAAAGGAAUUGACGG
rnacentral:rRNA from 1 species